rnacentral:rRNA from 1 species
AGAGUUUGAUCAUGGCUCAGAUUGAACGCUGGCGGCAGGCUUAACACAUGCAAGUCGAGCGGGGAAGGUUGCUUCGGUAACUGACCUAGCGGCGGACGGGUGAGUAAUACUUAGGAAUCUGCCUAUUAAUGGGGGACAACAUCUCGAAAGGGAUGCUAAUACCGCAUACGCCCUACGGGGGAAAGCAGGGGAUCACUUGUGACCUUGCGUUAAUAGAUGAGCCUAAGUCGGAUUAGCUAGUUGGUGGGGUAAAGGCCUACCAAGGCGACGAUCUGUAGCGGGUCUGAGAGGAUGAUCCGCCACACUGGGACUGAGACACGGCCCAGACUCCUACGGGAGGCAGCAGUGGGGAAUAUUGGACAAUGGGGGGAACCCUGAUCCAGCCAUGCCGCGUGUGUGAAGAAGGCCUUAUGGUUGUAAAGCACUUUAAGCGAGGAGGAGGCUCUUUUGGUUAAUACCCAAGAUGAGUGGACGUUACUCGCAGAAUAAGCACCGGCUAACUCUGUGCCAGCAGCCGCGGUAAUACAGAGGGUGCGAGCGUUAAUCGGAUUUACUGGGCGUAAAGCGUGCGUAGGCGGCUUUUUAAGUCGGAUGUGAAAUCCCCGAGCUUAACUUGGGAAUUGCAUUCGAUACUGGGAAGCUAGAGUAUGGGAGAGGAUGGUAGAAUUCCAGGUGUAGCGGUGAAAUGCGUAGAGAUCUGGAGGAAUACCGAUGGCGAAGGCAGCCAUCUGGCCUAAUACUGACGCUGAGGUACGAAAGCAUGGGGAGCAAACAGGAUUAGAUACCCUGGUAGUCCAUGCCGUAAACGAUGUCUACUAGCCGUUGGGGUCUUUGAGACUUUAGUGGCGCAGCUAACGCGAUAAGUAGACCGCCUGGGGAGUACGGUCGCAGACUAAACUCAAUGAUUGACGGAUCGUCGACCUGCAGCAUGCAGCUUGCACUGGCGUCGUUUACACGUCGUGACUGCA